rnacentral:lncRNA from 1 species
GUGUUACAGGAAGUAAGCCUGCCCGGGUGAAACUCUCCAUAAGGCCCACUAGAUGAACCAGAGCAUCCUGGAGUACUGAGGUAGCAUUGAACCACUCUAGGACCUGAGCUGGGCCUACCGAAAUUGUCUGGGCCGGAACCUCAUCUUCAAACUCUACCUGAGGCUCCGCCACUAGUACUGUUGCUCUAGGCUGAGCAUUGCCCCUGCCUCAGCCCCUAGCAUAGCCUCGUCCUCGUCCUCUAACCCUUGUGGGAACUGCUGUUGGGGGCUCGAGAUGCUGGUUAGUAGAUGAAGAAGCGCGUGUUCUUGCCAUCUGCGAAAAAACAGAGUAGAAAAUCAAUUAACAUUGAGAUACCAAACUGCACGAUAGAGAUGAAUAUAAGUGAAACUGUUCCUAACUUUGCAGCCUCUGGGGGGAUAAGCACAGACGUCUCUGUACCGAUCCCUCAGACUCUACCAAGCUUGUCCAUGAAUUGUGAGACCUAAGCAACCUAGAGCAUUGAUACCAAUUUGUCACGACCCGGAUUUCCCACCCUUGAGAGUCGUGAUGGCGCCUACUCGUGAAAGCUAGGCAAGCUGAGUAUUAUAGAUUCAUUAGCCCCUUUUACUUAACCUUUUUAACAAUUUUAAACAACAUGAAAUCAACAGUGGAAUAAUAAUAAUUAAAGACAUACGGAAGAAGAAAUCUGAUAACUUAGCCAAAUACAAAUACGAAAAAUACAAAGUACAUCUCUACCAAGAACUGGUGUUACAAUAUCAUGAACCAUCUACGAAUACUACAAAUAGUUGUCUGGAAAGAAAGAUACAAUCUGUCUCUGAUGUAAAUGAAAACAGAAUAUAAAGAUAGAAGGGGAUUCUAGGGCCUGCAGACGUCUGCAGGACUACCUCGGGUCUCCUGAUGGACUAAAGGCAGCAACCUCUCUCUACGGUCCAAAUGCUCUAGCACCGGGAUCUGCACACAAUGCAGAGUGUAAUAUCAGCACAACCGACCCCAUGUGCUGGUAAGUGUCGUGCCUAACCUUGGCGAAGUAGUGACAAGGCUAAGACAAGACUACCAAAUAAACCUGCACAGUUUAAAGCAUAAAUGACAAGUAAUAAUAACAGAAACUAGCAAUUAAAGAUGGGAGGGAGAAACAUGUUGCGGGGAAAUAUCCAGUACCAAUAGUAACUUAGGAGAAAACAUAAAGAACAUCUUAAAGUCAGCAUUAGUAAGAAUAAGGAAAUAGUAACAAUUAAUAUCCACUUUCAUUCUUUAUUGUUGCGGCGCGCAGCCCGAACCAAAUAAUAUAAAUCUGUUGCGGCAUGCAACCCGAUCCAAAUCAUAUAUCACUGUUGCGACGUGCAACCCGACCCCUCCUAUCCUCCCUUAUUACUCCAUGUUGAGGCGUGAAACCCGAUCCCAUAUAAUGUUGUUGCAGCGUGCAACCCGAUCCCAAUAUAAAAUUCAACACCAAUUACAAAAGAAUCCUGACAAGGGAACAAUUAGCAAACAACACUAUCCCGGCAAGGGAACCAACAAUAAGAAUAAACACAUCCCGGCAAGGGAGCCAAAAGUAAGAAUUAAAUACGUCCCGACAAGAGAAUCAGCUAUAACCAAACUUGUACCAACAUUUAACUUGACAAAUGAAACCUCAACUAGAACCAAUACUCAACAAUAAGCAAAUACCACGAGAACAGUCAUGAUUCUUGCCCAACACGGGGAGUUAACAACUUAGGCAUUUGUUGUACUUAUUAAGAUCACAACGAUUAUAAUUUAGGACUCACGGGCAUGUUUGACAAUGACGUAUAGAUACUCGUCACCACACCUAUACAUCGUACACUACACUAGCACAUAGCAAAUAAAGCACAAUACUUAUUUCCUCAAGCUAAGGUUAGACCAAACACUUAUCUCAAUGUCACGAACACAAUUCAAGCCUCAACUACGGCUUUACCUCUUGAUUCCACCACCAAUUCGCUUGUAUCUAGCCAUAAUUUACUUAACGAUAUCAAUAAAUGCUAAAUAAAUCAAUUCUAAUGCAUGGAAAUAGGUUUUCUAAAGAUUUUCCCAAAAAGUCAAAAAUCGACCAUGAGCCCACAUGGUCAAAACCUGAUGUUCGAACCAAAAACCGAUUACUCAUUCACCCAAGAACUCAAAUAUAUAAUUUGUUUUGAAAUUGGACCCCAAAUUGAGGUCCAAAUCCCCAAAAUUUAAAAAUCCUAGUUCUACGCAAAACACCCAAUUUCCCCCAUGAAAACCCUUGUUUUUGAUUUGAAAUCAGGUGGAAAGAUGCUAUAUAUUAAAGAAAAUGAGUUAGAAAUGACUUACAAUCGAUUUGGAGAAGAACUUUUCUUUAGAAAAUCGCCCAAGAGAGCUUAGGGUUUGAGGGAGUUUGAAAAAUGAAGAAUUUUCGGCAAAGUUAUUGUAGACAUGUGAUUUUUGACCAUCCCCAAGAUUUUUUAUAUUUUAGCAUGUAAAUAUUUAAUUUAGGCCUAAUAUCGCUAUUUCAACUAACUUUGACUCUUUUACUUUAUUUUUAUUACAAGAAAAUGAAAAUUAUAAAAAAUAGUUUCAUUAAUGUUUUAUAGUCAUUUUUAAUCUUGAAAAAUACCAAAAAUAAUUUUGUUUUAACGGUCAGUCUUAUUUUAAUAGUUAUUUUACUUAAGUAGGAUUAAUUAAUAAAUGAGAUCAUAUUUUUAGUCUCGUUCGUGGGAAAAAAUUAAAAUUUGGGCUCAAACGACCCAUUUUUAGGCCUAAUUUUCGGAUCUAGCUCAUAAUUCCUAGGCCCAUACCCCUUAACCUAAAAAAACCCUACAAAAACCUAGACCUAGACACUCUACAAUCAGUCAUUUGGACUGAAGACCUAAUGAGUAACGCCUAAAACCUUCACAAAAAAGAUACAUCAGCUGUUUUUUCAUAGAAUAGGACCCUCCCCCCACAGAUAUGUCUCCUUCUGAAAACAAAGCAACCAUUUUCAUGGCUUUUGGCUAAACAAAAACAAAGCAGCCAUCUCACAAACAACCACCCUCAACUUUCCAUUUUCUACCCAAAAACCAUCCCCGAGCUUCGUCUUCUCAGCGCCUAAAGACACAACUAACCUCUUUUAUCUUCUCCACACCCAAGAACACCAAACGACUCACCCCUCCACAUAGAUGUAGAUAGAGAACGGGCAGAGAGAGUGACGAUCAGGGAGGAGGACAGAUGAGAAACAGAGGCUUACUGACGGUCUUUCAUCAAACGAAAAUCAAUCGCACCUCCUUCUUCUUCAAGAGAAAUUUUCUCUUUAGAUUUCUGUCACACCUCCUUUUUUACUACACCCCCGGAAGGGUAUAUAAGGGAGUUUUUUCCAACUUAAAGUGACAAUCGAAACGGGAUUAUUUUAUUAAAAAAAAAAUCAGAGUCGCCACUUGGGAUAAUUUAUGGUGUCCCAAGUCAUCGGUUCAAAUCUAGAAUCGAGGAAAGAUUGACUCUGUAUUACAGUCCGCGAACACAGAAAUUCGGGUAAGGCAUUCUGUUAACCCGGGAGAAGGUGUUAGGCAUUCCCGAGUUCUGUGGUUCUAGCACGGUCGCUCAACUGUUAUUAUUGGCCAAAUUAUCUGAUUUUAAAAUACUUUUAAACCUAUGUGCAUUUUAGCUUUAAAUCGUUUUUAAUUAUUUUCAGAAAGAUUUCAACGUCAUCUAAAACAUGUCUUUGGACCACGCCACAUGAAAUGCACCCGAAAUCCGAGACACAUUUUAUUUAACGUUGUUAAGAUUUAGAUUUGGGUCACAUGAAAUGCACACCCGAGUUUAAAAAGGUAAUUUUUAAGAUAGCUCGCCUAAAGCAACUACGCUCUUUCAAGUUUGCGAGGGCCAUAGAAAAUUCAAAUAAUGGCACACCUCGAUUUCUAGAGGAUUAAAAUUAGUUGAGUGAGGGCCAUACAUUAUGGGAUUCAUAUGUGAAUGGCAUGCCUCACUUUAUUUUAAAAAGAUUCGUACUCAACUAAAGCGAAUUACGGAUGUUCAUAAGUGACCAUCCAACUUGUUUAGAAUCGAUUCACACAUGUAGAAAUUUAUAGAUCUAAUUUUGAAAGCAUCAAUAACAAACGGGAGGCUGCCAAGGAUAUUAUGGCCGAUCAUAUAGAGACAAAUAGCCAAACCUUUUAAUGCAAUUACGCAGUAGCACCAGACAAAAAAAAGCUGCAACAUAUAUAAAGUAAAAUCUUUAUCUAAAGGUAAUUGGGCAUUGUAUUAAAGUGAAAUUUAUACAUAUGGCUAAUUAUUUAGGAUCAAUCAACAUAUGCUAGCAGUAGUCAUCUCUAUUGCAAAGGAAGAAGAUUCAAAAGGAAGCAAUUGUAGGAGACCGUAUCACAGUAAUAGCAAAAUAGAAACAUGUGCUCUUAACCAACGCACCAUCAAGGGCGGAGCUUUAUAUUUUCGAAAACUUGACUUCACAACACGACCGGAAUAAGAACCUCAAACGAAGACCGGAAACAACAAAUUGAGAACAAAUUUCAGCUCAAUACUUCAGAAAUCAAGCUAAGCACGCUAAUCAAAUUCAUUAAAAUCAAUUAACUCAAAUGAUCUAGUCCAAGUUCAUCUAUAACUCAAACUUUUCAAAAUUUUCAGCACAUAUGCACCUUCAGCACAUCACAUCCACUCUAUUGAACACAACCAAACAUGCUUCGCAAAUUCGAAACAUCUGUAAUUCCCCACCAGAAUUUGACGACAGUGAUAUAAGUUAAACAGGUUUGAAUCUUCUAACUUACAAAUUACUUAGAAAAGGAUUCAAUCAUAUAAAGAUAACAAAUGUAUCGAAAUUUCAUGGAGAGGAACAAAAGACACGUUUCGUAUUAUGUCCAAGUAAAACUUGAAUUCAUAGUUGAAUACCUGGUUGGGCAAGAAACGAUUGAAAGAGCCAAAAAAAAAACACAACAAAUAGGGCUGAAGUUCGGCAAAUACGAGCAGAAAUUAGAAUGGAACCUCGAGCAACAGCUGGGAACUCGACUCGGCACCACGAAUGUUGAAUCGAACAUGAACUCAAACCCAAAUAUCAGUCAAAUUCCAUUUUUUGCGACAAAUAAACCCAGCCAAAAAUCCUCUACCUCCGUCUUGAUUUUCUAUCUGUUCUCUCUGCUGUGUGUGUGUGCUUAGCGACUGAAAUCCAUGAAAAAGAUGAAGUUUCUCUGGGGGCGGGGGGGACGGUUUUGGCUGACGAAGGUGAUGAAGAAGAAGACGGCUUAGGGGUGCUGUAUGGGGUGCCAGCGUUCAGGGGUUUUCACUUCAGAGGAAGCCAUGAAAUUUUUUGCUGUUUCUUCUAUGAAGACCGUCGAUCAGGGGGUGGGUAUCCUGUGUAUUUUUGUUGAGAAGAUGAAGUUACAGGGGAAUAGGGUCUUAUUUUGUCCUUUGCGGCAGAUUUCUAAAGAGGUCCCUCUUAUUUUAGUGUAUUUCCGUCUCUUUAAAUAGGUAGCAGAAAUGAAUUACCUAUUCACAAAUACCCCUUCCCCAAUUUUUUAUUUAACUCCACUCAAAUACUUUUCUUUGCUCUAUUCAGUAAUGCACUCCCAACCUCACCACUCUAGAAGCUUUCUAAUUAGUUAGGUAAGACUCCCCAAUUUAAACAAUCCCUAGACUACCCUUAAAACCUCAUGUUAAUUACUUCAAAAACCAAAUGGGUCAAAUUGACCCAAGAUUCAACCUAGAAAAUUAGAUUAAUUACUCAAAAUAAUAAUUAUCCCAACUAAUUAAAUACCAAAUUAAAAGAAAAUUG